UCUCCGUUGGUGAACCAGCGGAGGGAUCAUUACCGAGUUGCAAAACUCCCACAACCAUCGUGAACUUACCUACCAUUGCCUCGGCGGGCGGCAGGCUUACCCCCACCAGGGUCUGCUACGCCGUCUGUCUCCCUGCCCCCCGGGGCUCGGGGGCGCCCGCCGGAGGACGCCUAAACUACGUCUCCAGUGUAUCUCAGAGUACGUAUCAAAUACAUCAAAACUUUCAACAAUGGAUCUCUUGGUUCUGGCAUCGAUGAAGAACGCAGC
rnacentral:misc_RNA from 1 species